rnacentral:rRNA from 1 species
CGGGGGGCUAUCUGCAGUCGAGCGAAUGGAUUAAGAGCUUGCUCUUAUGAAGUUAGCGGCGGACGGGUGAGUAACACGUGGGUAACCUGCCCAUAAGACUGGGAUAACUCCGGGAAACCGGGGCUAAUACCGGAUAACAUUUUGAACCGCAUGGUUCGAAAUUGAAAGGCGGCUUCGGCUGUCACUUAUGGAUGGACCCGCGUCGCAUUAGCUAGUUGGUGAGGUAACGGCUCACCAAGGCAACGAUGCGUAGCCGACCUGAGAGGGUGAUCGGCCACACUGGGACUGAGACACGGCCCAGACUCCUACGGGAGGCAGCAGUAGGGAAUCUUCCGCAAUGGACGAAAGUCUGACGGAGCAACGCCGCGUGAGUGAUGAAGGCUUUCGGGUCGUAAAACUCUGUUGUUAGGGAAGAACAAGUGCUAGUUGAAUAAGCUGGCACCUUGACGGUACCUAACCAGAAAGCCACGGCUAACUACGUGCCAGCAGCCGCGGUAAUACGUAGGUGGCAAGCGUUAUCCGGAAUUAUUGGGCGUAAAGCGCGCGCAGGUGGUUUCUUAAGUCUGAUGUGAAAGCCCACGGCUCAACCGUGGAGGGUCAUUGGAAACUGGGAGACUUGAGUGCAGGAAGAGGAAACGUGGAAUUCCAUGUGUAGCGGUGAAAUGCGUAGAGAUAUAGGAGGGAACACCAAUGGCGGAAUGCCACUUUCUGGUUCGUCACUGACACUGGAGGGCCGAAGGCGUGGGGAGCAACCAGAUUAGGAUACCCUGGUAGUCCACGCCGUAAACGAUAAGUGUUAAUUGUAGGAGGGUUUCCGCCCUUUAGUGUUGAAGUUAACGCAUUAACCAUUCCCCUUGGGGAUUACGGCGGCAAGGUUGAAAUUCAAAGGAAUUGAGGGGGGCCGCCACAGGCGGUGGAGCAUGUGGUUUAUUUGGAAGCAAGGGGAAGAACUUUACCAGUUCUGGACUUCUUUUGACAACCUUAGAGAUAGGGUUUUUCUUUGGGAACCAGAGUAACAGGUGGUCCAUGGUGUUCUUCAGUUGGGUUCGGGAGAUGUUGGGUUAAUUCCCGCAAGGAGCGCAACCCUUGUUUUUAGUUGCCACCAUUAAGUUGGCCAUUUUAAGGUGACUCCCGGUGACAAACCGGAGGAAGGUGGGGAGGAGGUCAAUUCUUCAUGCCCCUUAUGCCUUGGGUUCCCCACGUGUUCCAAUGGACGGUCCAAAGAGUUGAAAGACGGGGAGGGGGAGCAAUUCUCAUAAACCCGUUUCCAUUUGGGAUGGUGGGUGCAAAUUGGCUUCCAGAAAGCGGGAUUCGUUGGAAUUCGGGGAUCGCAAUGCCGCGGUGAAUACGUUCCCGGCCCUUGUACACACCGCCCGUCACACCACGGGAGUUUGUACCACCGGAAGCCGGUGGGUUAACUUUGAGCCAGCCGCCA